GGGGAAUAUUGCGCAAUGGGGGGAACCCUGACGCAGCCAUGCCGCGUGAAUGAAGAAGGCCUUAGGGUUGUAAAGUUCUUUCGGUAUUGAGGAAGGUUGAUGUGUUAAUAGCACAUCAAAUUGACGUUAAAUACAGAAGAAGCACCGGCUAACUCCGUGCCAGCAGCCGCGGUAAUACGGAGGGUGCGAGCGUUAAUCGGAAUAACUGGGCGUAAAGGGCACGCAGGCGGUUAUUUAAGUGAGGUGUGAAAGCCCCGGGCUUAACCUGGGAAUUGCAUUUCAGACUGGGUAACUAGAGUACUUUAGGGAGGGGUAGAAUUCCACGUGUAGCGGUGAAAUGCGUAGAGAUGUGGAGGAAUACCGAAGGCGAANACAGAGCCCCUUGGGAAUGUACUGACGCUCAUGUGCGAAAGCGUGGGGAGCAAACAGGAUUAGAUACCCUGGUAGUCCACGCUGUAAACGCUGUCGAUUUGGGGGUUGGGGUUUAACUCUGGCGCCCGUAGCUAACGUGAUAAAUCGACCGCCUGGGGAGUACGGCCGCAAGGUUA
rnacentral:rRNA from 1 species